rnacentral:rRNA from 1 species
AGGACGAACGCUGGCGGUGUGCUUCACACAUGCAAGUCGAACGGAGUAGCAAUACUCAGUGGCGGACGGGUGAGUAACACGUGGGAAUCUGCCUUUAGAUGGGGGAUAGCAGACCGAAAGGUCUAUUAAUACCGCAUAUGCCGAGAGGUGAAAGUAGCAAUACGUCUGAAGAUGAGCCCGCGCCCGAUUAGCUAGUUGGUAAGGUAAAAGCUUACCAAGGCUACGAUCGGUAGCUGGUCUGAGAGGAUGAUCAGCCACAAUGGAACUGAGACACGGUCCAUACUCCUACGAGAGGCAGCAGUGGGGAAUUUUACACAAUGGGCGAAAGCCUGAUGUAGCGACACCGCGUGAGCGAAGAAGCCUUUGGGUGUAAAGCUCUGUCAGCAGGGACGAAAAAAAUGACGGUACCUGCAGAGGAAGCAUCGGCUAACUACGCGCCAGCAGCCGCGGUAA